rnacentral:lncRNA from 1 species
CUAGGACAUAUAUCAUACAAUAUAUACUACCAACAAUAAAAGAUUUGACUCAAGUUGACGGACUAACACGCCAUAUCUGGCAGGUAAAACACACCCUAAUCCAUAGUAUCAGUUGGCGGAUACUACCGCGAUUAGACUCAACCUACUAGUAGACACUAUCUGUUUUUGAAAACUUGUUUAUAGUGAACACAGGAAUAACUGCUUCGUGGAUACACCACUUAUGCAGACUACUCUUUUUAUACUGUCAGACUUACUGUUUACUUUUCAUGCAACGUCCACUAAUAUUUUCACGCAUACACCAUUUUUCCCGCAUAUUCUAUUCGCUGUG